GGAAGUAUGUCCACUGGAAUUCUAGUGUUUGCCGAUGACGGAUAUUAGGCUAAUAAGCAAAGCGUGAAACACUCUUGUGACGUACUCCAAAACAAGGAAGGCAACAGGAUUCAGAAGGCUUCAGGGGAGAUCCACGCAGUGCCUAGGACCAAUGACCAAUAGAAACGGAGGCCGUUAACCUUUCUGCUACCAAAACAGAAGUGAACUCAACUUUAGACAACACAGAAGAUGCUCGCAUAUCUCUAAUGCCACUUUCCAUUUCCAUCUGGCUGGAUCACAGUGAGACGCAACUCUAGAAGUGGCCUUUUUGGGGGGUAAAUUCAGCAGGUUCCCAUUUAAUAAGGAGAAAGCAAUAUGAAGAGAACUGAACUGUUGGACAUGAGCUGAGAUUCGAUGAAACUACUGCCCUCUGCUAUCUGGCAGAUAUUAAUCAAGCUGUUUUAUGGUGUCCAUAAUGUAUUUACAGUUUAGCUGUUGUUGUGCCAGAUGUGAGAACUGUGUGAAAACUAAAUCUUUCUUGCUCUUUGAUCAUAUAAAUAUUUAGACUGA